rnacentral:rRNA from 1 species
UACGUAGGGUGCAAGCGUUGUCCGGAAUUAUUGGGCGUAAAGAGCUCGUAGGCGGUCUGUCGCGUCUGCUGUGAAAACUCGGGGCUUAACCCCGGGCCUGCAAGUGGGUACGGGCAGACUAGAGUGCGGUAGGGGAGACUGGAAUUCCUGGUGUAGCGGUGAAAUGCGCAGAUAUCAGGAGGAACACCGGUGGCGAAGGCGGGCU